AGCAGCCGCGGUAAUUCCAGCUCCAAUAGCGUAUAUUAAAGUUGUUGCAGUUAAAAGCUCGUAGUUGAAUUUCGGGAUCAAAGGAUCGGUCAUGCCUUGGUAUGUACUGGUUUUAUUGGUUCUCACCUUCUAAAGAACCAUAAUGUCAUUCAUUUGAUGUUAUGGGGAAUUAGGACUGUUACCUUGAAAAAAUUAGAGUGUUUAAAGCAGGCUAACACUUGAAUACAUUAGCAUGGAAUAAUGAAAUAGGACGUUUGAUCCUAUUUUGUUGGUUUCUAGGAUCGACGUAAUGAUUAAUAGGGAUAGUUGGGGGCAUUAGUAUUCAAUUGUCAGAGGUGAAAUUCUUGGAUUUAUUGAAGACUAACUACUGCGAAAGCAUUUGCCAAGGAUGUUUUCAUUAAUCAAGAACGAAAGUUAGGGGAUCGAAGACGAUCAGAUACCGUCGUAGUCUUAACCAUAAACUAUGCCGACUAGGGAUCGGAUGAUGUUAAUUUUUUUAAUGACUCAUUCGGCGCCUUAC
rnacentral:misc_RNA from 1 species